rnacentral:rRNA from 1 species
UACGUAGGGUGCGAGCGUUUGUCCGGAAUUAUUGGGCGUAAAGAGCUUGUAGGCGGUCUGUCGCGUCUGCUGUGAAAUUUCGGGGCUCAACCCCGAACUUGCAGUGGGUACGGGCAGACUAGAGUGUGGUAGGGGAGACUGGAAUUCCUGGUGUAGCGGUGAAAUGCGCAGAUAUCAGGAGGAACACCGGUGGCGAAGGCGGGUCUCUGGGCCGAUACUGACGCUGAGGAGCGAAAGCGUGGGGAGCAAACAGG